AUGUACAUUCCUACAACAUAGCGUUAGCGCACUAGAUCCCAUUAGAACUCCUUAUUUAAGCAUGCUCAGGGUAGAGUAGUAUUGGGAUGGGUGACUUCCCAAGAAGUACUAGUAUUUUACAUG
rnacentral:rRNA from 1 species